AAAAAAAAAGGGACUAAACUAUGAUAAAUACCUACUUUUGCUAAUUUGCAAUAAAAAAAAGUUUUUCUUUAAAGAAAAAAAAUUAAAUGGUGAUAAUGGGGCCUUAAUCAGCAGUAUUAGUUAUUCUAAUAGUUAUUAGCUGUUUUAGUAACUGUUAGUCAUUAAAUAUUAACUAUUAGUGGUUACCUAUUUAAAUAGUGAUUCCAAACAGAAAUGUUCGGUAAAAAUAGUUGUUAAAUAUUAAAAUAGUGGUAUCAACUUAUCAACCUUAGUCAAGACGCUCCUUUAAUCUCUAAAAAUUAGGAGAGGUAACUUUUCAUGGACCAUUCCCUCAACCUCUAAAAGUUAAUAUAAAUACUAUACAAUUAAAUAGUAUAAAUAAAAGAGAUAGUGUUUUGACUAGAGUCAAAAUACUAAAUACUAUCUUAAAAGUUAUUGUUGAACAGGGUUAG
rnacentral:misc_RNA from 1 species